CCUACGGGAGGCAGCAGUGGGGGAUAUUGCACAAUGGGGGAAACCCUGAUGCAGCGACGCCGCGUGAGUGAAGAAGGAAUUCGUUAUGUAAAGCUCUAUCCGCUGGGAAGAAAAUGACGGUAGCUGAGGAAGAAGCCCCGGCUAACUACGUGCCAGCAGCCGCGGUAAUACGUAGGGGGCAAGCGUUGUCCGGAUUUACUGGGUGUAAAGGGAGCGUAGACGGCAGUGCAAGUCUGGAGUGAAAGGCGGGGGCUCAACCCACGGACUGCUCUGGAAACUGUACGGCUUGAGUGCAGGAGAGGUAAGUGGAAUUCCUGGUGUAGCGGUGAAAUGCGUAGAUAUUAGGAGGAACACCAGUGGCGAAGGCGGCUUACUGGACUGUAACUGACGUUGAGGCUCGAAAGCGUGGGGAGCAAACAGGAUUAGAUACCCGGGUAGUC
rnacentral:rRNA from 1 species